UUGAGUUCAGAAAAUAUAUCUCCUGGAUCUCUGCAGUUUCUCUGACAUACACAAGAUGUGAUCCACAGCAUCUUCCAUUUAAAUGACCCUUCACCUGGGCAAUCAAAUUGAAUGGUAAUCAUUUUAGACUUAUUAGGAACACAGCAUCUCUUAUCCAAACAUAUUCCACAGAAAGUGGGUUUAUAACUCUGAGUGCUUGAACAUCCAGAAAAGACGAAUUUUUCAGCUUUGAAGAGUUGAAAGUUGUUAUUUUCAUUGGUUACCCUAUUAGAAAUUCCCAUCCCACAUGUUCUGGAGCAAGGGGUCCACUUUGUUGCUUGCACAAGACAUCUUCUUUUCCAAAACUGAGGCAGAGGAAGCAGAAACGCGAAGAUACCUGGCAGGUAGACAACAGUUUAAAGACCUCAAUGCAGGAAGCAAAUUAAAAGCCUGGCACGCAUCUGCAAUAAAUAAAGCACUAACCACUAAGAGUGACUCUCUGACACCUCCAACCCGGCUCCAAGCGAAUCCACUGAAACUGCUCACUCUACCAAUGUGACCAGCUUGAAGUCUAUCCAAAGCUACAAGGUCUGAAAAAAGAAGAAAGCAGAAUCACCAAAGAAGCCGUGAUUGAUAGUCUAGCCCUCCCAGUACAAGCCAUAGGGGAAACAGCUAU